UACGUAGGGUGCGAGCGUUGUCCGGAUUUAUUGGGCGUAAAGAGCUCGUAGGCGGUUUGUCGCGUCGGCCGUGAAAUCUCCACGCUUAACGUGGAGCGUGCGGUCGAUACGGGCAGACUUGAGUUCGGUAGGGGAGACUGGAAUUCCUGGUGUAGCGGUGAAAUGCGCAGAUAUCAGGAGGAACACCGGUGGCGAAGGCGGGGUCUCUGGGGCAGUAACUGACGCUGAGGAGCGAAAGCGUGGGGAGCGAACAGG
rnacentral:rRNA from 1 species